GACAACUAGGAUGUUGGCUUAGAAGCAGCCACCAUUUAAAGAGUGCGUAAUAGCUCACUAGUCGAGUGACUCUGCGCCGAAAAUGUACCGGGGCUAAAUACACCACCGAAGCUGCGGAUUGAUACCAAUGGUAUCAGUGGUAGGGGAGCGUUCUAAGGACAGUGAAGUCAGACCGGAAGGACUGGUGGAGUGCUUAGAAGUGAGAAUGCCGGUAUGAGUAGCGAAAGACGGGUGAGAAUCCCGUCCACCGAAUGCCUAAGGUUUCCUGAGGAAGGCUCGUCCGCUCAGGGUUAGUCAGGACCUAAGCCGAGGCCGACAGGCGUAGGCGAUGGACAACAGGUUGAUAUUCCUGUACCACCUCUUUAUCGUUUGAGCAAUGGAGGGACGCAGAAGGAUAGAAGAAGCGUGCGAUUGGUUGUGCACGUCCAAGCAGUUAGGCUGAUAAGUAGGCAAAUCCGCUUAUCGUAAAGGCUGAGCUGUGAUGGGGAAGCUCCUUAUGGAGCGAAGUCUUUGAUUCCCCGCUGCCAAGAAAAGCUUCUAGCGAGAUAAAAGGUGCCUGUACCGCAAACCGACACAGGUAGGCGAGGAGAGAAUCCUAAGGUGUGCGAGAGAACUCUGGUUAAGGAACUCGGCAAAAUGACCCCGUAACUUCGGGAGAAGGGGUGCUUUCUUAACGGAAAGCCGCAGUGAAUAGGCCCAAGCGACUGUUUAGCAAAAACACAGCUCUCUGCGAAGCCGUAAGGCGAAGUAUAGGGGGUGACACCUGCCCGGUGCUGGAAGGUUAAGGAGAGGGGUUAGCGUAAGCGAAGCUCUGAACUGAAGCCCCAGUAAACGGCGGCCGUAACUAUAACGGUCCUAAGGUAGCGAAAUUCCUUGUCGGGUAAGUUCCGACCCGCACGAAAGGCGUAACGAUUUGGGCACUGUCUCAACGAGAGACUCGGUGAAAUCAUAGUACCUGUGAAGAUGCAGGUUACCCGCGACAGGACGGAAAGACCCCGUGGAGCUUUACUGUAGCCUGAUAUUGAAUUUUGGUACAGUUUGUACAGGAUAGGCGGGAGCCUUUGAAACCGGAGCGCUAGCUUCGGUGGAGGCGCUGGUGGGAUACCGCCCUGACUGUAUUGAAAUUCUAACCUACGGGUCUUAUCGACCCGGGAGACAGUGUCAGGUGGGCAGUUUGACUGGGGCGGUCGCCUCCUAAAGUGUAACGGAGGCGCCCAAAGGUUCCCUCAGAAUGGUUGGAAAUCAUUCGUAGAGUGCAAAGGCAUAAGGGAGCUUGACUGCGAGACCUACAAGUCGAGCAGGGACGAAAGUCGGGCUUAGUGAUCCGGUGGUUCCGCAUGGAAGGGCCAUCGCUCAACGGAUAAAAGCUACCCCGGGGAUAACAGGCUUAUCUCCCCCAAGAGUCCACAUCGACGGGGAGGUUUGGCACCUCGAUGUCGGCUCAUCGCAUCCUGGGGCUGUAGUCGGUCCCAAGGGUUGGGCUGUUCGCCCAUUAAAGCGGUACGCGAGCUGGGUUCAGAACGUCGUGAGACAGUUCGGUCCCUAUCCGUCGUGGGCGUAGGAAAUUUGAGAGGAGCUGUCCUUAGUACGAGAGGACCGGGAUGGACAUACCUCUGGUGUACCAGUUGUCGUGCCAACGGCAUAGCUGGGUAGCUAUGUAUGGACGGGAUAAGUGCUGAAAGCAUCUAAGCAUGAAGCCCCCCUCAAGAUGAGAUUUCCCAUAGCGUAAGCUAGU
rnacentral:rRNA from 1 species